rfam:Triticum urartu cultivar G1812 contig623199, whole genome shotgun sequence.
AGAGGAAGGAAGCAUGGUAAUGGGCGCGCAGAGUGACUGAAGUCGGUAUGCAUGUCUGCUCACCCUGACGCCCUCGGGCUUUUGUCUAGCGGACCUGAAUUUGACUCACACUU